AUCCCAGUAUAUCCCAUUCCCUCCCAGUCCCUCCCAGUAUAUCCCAGUCCAUCCCAUCCCAUCCCAGUCCAUCCCAGUAUAUCCCAGUUCCCUCCCAGUCCCUCCCAUUAUAUCCCAGUCCCAUCCCAGUCCCUCCCAG